UCUCAACUAUCAUAACAAGAUGUCAAUACACAAUGUCUUAAGUUGAUAAAUCACGAAGUGGCUGAAUGAGUAAAUUAUUUAAACACAAAGAGGUAAAUAAUAGAUAAAACAGCUAGCAGUUGCAAGUGGCGGCCUCUCAAGAGCAGUAUGGGUAAGAGAUGGAGCAGAGGUUCCACUGUAUCCCCAUGUGAGUCUCACUAUGUAGGAGAGCUGUUACUGAGUAUGUUGCAAUGGAGUCAGAAAAAA